UUCCACCGGGAGAGCAAUUUCUAGAUGCUAAAUUGAAAUGUAUUGUCCAGUGUCUUGCGAUGUCAUUCUUUCAUUAUUCAAGGUAUGUGUCUCACAAGGAAAUAGAAAAUCCUGAAUUUUGCAUGUGUGAUUGGUUCAACAACCUCAACCUCUGCACCUCACUGUCAACCACAUGCAAGCUUCCUCCUUGCUUUAGGUGAGAGCAUUUAUUUCAUCGCCUUUUUAGCUUGCUCAGAUUGCAAGUUUGAUAGGUUUCCCCAACCCGGGUUAGGAACCCCUUUGAUUUUGGUUCCUUGCUACAACUCUGUAUGCAAUUUUGUUUCUCUGUCACAGUUUGAUCGAUCCAUUCUUAGCUACAAAUGCUUAUUUAUAAACAGAUGGAUACAAGGUUCAUUGUAGUCUUGCAGUUUGGAAUACCAAAAAAAAUCAUUUGUUUGAGUGGUAUAGCGUUUAGAUGUCAUUUUCUUUUUUGCUGUUUUUUAUCGCCUUUUAUUGUCGUGCUAUGAGUUGAUAUGAAUCAGCUAGCUAUUGUCUAAUUGUUGAAAUACCACCCUUUCGAGCAGCCCUUGAACACAGAACAAGGAAACGAGGAUAUUUCGGAGUCCCAGUUUCACUGCCUUCGUGGACGCUGGAGCCACUGCCACCUUUACUAUGCAUUGUGUGGCGAUAAACACAUGACCAGCAAGGGGCCCUGCCCCCCUCCCAAUACUAUGGAUUUGUUCAUAAUAAACACAUGAACAGUGCAGCAUUUGACUUGUUUUCUGCUCCAACCGGCCCUCCCCAACAUCCUAAUCCCACUAAUCCCACCUCCGCCACUGCAGGCAUGCCGGCCUUUUCUUAAUUGCUAUACUUUUGAGGACGCAUCACUAAAAAAACUAAAAGAGGUUUCAUGGCAAUGAUGGAGUGCUACCAAAUUAUGUUCCAAGAAAAAUGAUUUCUGCCUCAACUUGACUACAUGCAUGUUGAAUUGUUGACCCGAUUUGACGGACUAUAUAAGUGCUCUUUUCCUUGGGAAUUUGAAAGCACGCCCCUUCUAAGCAUCGCACAAUAUAUAGGCUUAUAUAUGUGGUACCAGUCAUUGGUACAAGCAUGUGUGCAUUACACCAGAAAAGGGGUUUCAAACUCGCAGAGCAUAUUGAAGGUGGUACAAAUCAUUGCAGAGUGAAUUACAAGUAGCUAUAUGUGGAUUGGAAUUUACUGAAGCUUUGCAUAUUCAAAUUUUUAAGUCGAAUGAGACGUGCAUUGCACGUGCAAGCUUACUAGUACAAGAAAAAAAAACCACAAUAGCAACCGCACGCAAACAAAUGCCAGCUCACCGCACUCUGCUGCGAACAUGGGCCUCGCCUUAUCCGUUUUUUCUACGUCAAGAAACACCCUAGCGGGAGCUCCUAUGUGCCGCGUUUUGCGGCUAAUUGCCUGCACGACGUACAGGAGCAGUGAGACUGGGCCGGCCCAGGCACCGGCGAACUGUGUUUACAUCAGUAAAAAUCGCGAAAACAAAAGGUGACGAAGUGAGGAAUCGAACUUGUGACGUCCAUCUCCUCAACGAGUCAUACUAGUCACUGGAUCAAACUGUUACUUGUGAUUCAAAGCGCAUCGGGACCUUAUUUAAGACUUAAAGUUGCAGGAUAUUCCAUGUUGCAUGCUA